rnacentral:rRNA from 1 species
CAACGUGGGUAAUCUGCCCUUCGAUGGGGAAUAACUCGCCGAAAGGCGAGCUAAUUCCGCAUAACAUUCCAAGUACUUCGGUUUUUGGACUCAAAGGCGUAAGUCGUCGGAGGAGGAGCCCGCGCACGAUUAGCUAGUUGGUGAGGUAAUGGCUCACCAAGGCUAUGAUCGUUAGCUGGUCUGAGAGGAUGGCCAGCCACACUGGAACUGAGACACGGUCCAG